CUUGUGCAAACAAACAAACAAAUGUUCAUUUUAAGUCGUAUUUUGUUUUUCCCCAGUUCAAACAGUAAGCACAGAAGUUUACCUGACAGCGACAAUACAGGAGGACUGUAGCAGACGUUCAGAAGUUGCUGCGAAAUUUCCAGAAAUGGCUUGUCAAAUUGCCUUCAGGUUUGGCUGCUCAUCCGCCAACACUGUGAACACCAGGUCCUGAGGAAUGUAACUGCCCAUCUAACAACGUCUUGUU